CUCAUCCUGUUAAGACAGAAGGAAUGAGAAACUCAGGUGGUCCCAGGAAGUCGAAAUCCAGACGCAGAAACAACAAACAGGAACCAAAUGCAGCGGACCUCUUAAAUAAGUCACAGUCAAUCUUAGAAAGAGAAAAGAAGAAAGGAUUUGAUAGAGAUAUAAGAACAACAAUGGUGCAGUUGGCCUUAAUUGUUCCCCGCAUGACCAGUCAGGCAGUGAAAGUGGCAGCUACGGCAGCUCGAACACGUUUGUCUUCCUCACCAAGAGCAGGAUUUGUGGAUGCCCAAUGAGAGCCAGAGCGGUGGAGAGCUUCCUACGGGUGCCACAGCUGUAACCAUCCGUGAUGAUGUUUCUGUGGUAAUUCAGUUCCAGCCUCUUCAGCAGGUAGUUCACCAACUAGAAGGAGAAAAAAAACAGGAGAAAAAAACUGAGACAAUUUUUUUUUAUUUUCCUGUUGCAACCUUGUAAUCUGUAUGGAAGUCAUGCAUCUAACUAGAAUCAUCGGGUCUAACUAUUGCUUUUGAUGGCUCACCGUUAAUAAGAAAUGUUUCAUGGAUUAGUACGCAGCUUCCUGGCUGCACAAAUGCAGCGAUAAAGUCCAGCCUGUUUUGUUAUCUUUAGAAAAUUGAAUCAAUCUUCGAUUUCAUCAGGAGCUUGACUUCUUUUAAUCCACCUAAUGGAUAGUCUUUAGGAAUGUCCAGUGUUCCACUAUAAACACGCCAGAGGCUGUUCUCAACAGAAAAAUGUGGAUUCACACAGACAGGGAGAAAUCGGUGACCCCGCUCCACAUUGGUUGUUUGAUAUUCAUGGUUUUACUCUGGCGUUUUUUUAUUUUUUAUCUCGUCUGGUGCAGCUACAGGGAAAAUUACAUGAGAUCUCUAUUGGCCCCAUUCUCAUGCAUAUUUAAGCUUGUUUAUACAACAAUAACGGCUUCAUUUGGUGAUUUUAUUUGGUAUAAUCUGCAUGCCAGGCUUAGCAUAGUGGAAUAUGCUGUAGUGUAAGCUGGCUAAUGCAUGUCAUUUUUAUCCACUUCCUUCAGUCACUCUAAAAUCACAUGACAUUGUGUGCUGUAAAUGCCAAAGCAAUUUCAACAAGCAUCCAGUGAUUUUUAUUUGGUAAACUCUGACCUUUUCCUCCAUUAGUUGGCAUGUUUGAAAACCAGAUCAGUGAAGCAAACUAAUGCAAGUCAAACCAGUUCACUUGGGUUUUCUGCUUUUCCUCUGGAAGAAAACUUGUCUUUUGGUUGUUGAUUUUCUCUACGGUUCACUGAUCUAAGUUAUCUAAACACUGUCUAUAAAACUGCAUAUCUUAAAAAAAAAAAGAAA